CUUAAUUAACAUUAGUGCAUAGCAUCAUAAUAGUUAGCUUACAGAUUUCAACCAAAUAUAUUUUAUUCCUACUGUUACAGUAGAGCCAGCAAUCAAACUCUGGCCAGCUGUGAUCUGAAUAAUUUGAAAAACUUCAGCUCUCUGAUUUUAAAUGCAGUGGAUGGCACUGUACACCAUCUACAAUGUAUAUCCAACAGCCCAGCAAGUUUGCCUCAAGAAAAACGUCACAUGCUCCAAACUGAGCUUGGAAAGAUCAUUGCAUCAACACUAAAUGUUAUGGUUCACCUUGGACUUUCUUCAAUCGAGGAUAUUGCUGACAGUUUUGGUGCUUUACACACACUGACUGCAGAGAAUGCGCAAAACAUGGAGUUUGUUCAGUCAUGGAUCUGUGUCAGGCUUAUUCCACUCCUCCCGUUCAUUACCACAGAGUUUAUAUCCAACAUGAGCAAGAUAAACUUUUCGUGUGUCAGCUACCAAACAAUAGUCAAAACACUCAGUCAGCAGGUAAACCUGAUCAAUGAAACAUCAAAGACCUCCAUCUACACCCAAUUCAUUAAGCCAGUAUUGUCCAGACAAAUUUCAGAUCCUGCAUGUCAGUCUAAAAUUAUGGGCAGUGCUGAAUGGCUUAAGAAAAAUUUGGGUGAAUUUUCGUUCUAUGCUACAUUGAAGGAUCUACAAACUCUGAAUGGAAAUUUUUCCAGU